rnacentral:rRNA from 1 species
UACAGAAGGUGCGAGCGUUAAUCGGAAUUACUGGGCGUAAAGGGUGCGUAGGUGGUUUUGUAAGUUAGGUGUGAAAGUCCCGGGCUUAACCUGGGGAUUGCGCCUAAUACUGCAAAGCUAGAGUACUGUAGAGGAAAGUGGAAUUUCCAGUGUAGCGGUGAAAUGCGUAGACAUUGGAAGGAACAUCAGUGGCGAAGGCGACUUUCUGGACAGGUACUGACACUCAACUACGAAAGCGUGGGGAGCAAACAGG